rnacentral:pre_miRNA from 1 species
AUCAUACUCCCUCCGUUCAGAAUUACUUGUCGCAAAAAUGGAUGUAUCUAGACGUAUUUUAGUUCUAGAUACAUCCAUUUUCGAGACAAGUAAUUCCGAACGGAGGGAUUAUUAC